rnacentral:rRNA from 1 species
GAUGAACGCUGGCGGCGUGCCUAAUACAUGCAAGUCGAGCGAACGGACGAGAAGCUUGCUUCUCUGAUGUUAGCGGCGGACGGGUGAGUAACACGUGGAUAACCUACCUAUAAGACUGGGAUAACUUCGGGAAACCGGAGCUAAUACCGGAUAAUAUUUUGAACCGCAUGGUUCAAAAGUGAAAGACGGUCUUGCUGUCACUUAUAGAUGGAUCCGCGCUGCAUUAGCCAGUUGGUAAGGUAACGGCUUACCAAGGCAACGAUGCAUAGCCGACCUGAGAGAGCAGCCACCCAGACGGUGAGAGAGACACGGUCCACCUACGGGCGGGAGCAGUGAGGAGGAUUGCUCCAUGAGGGGACGAAUGAUCAAGGGAGAAAGCCGGGGUGAAGAAGGAGGUCCGUCGGUCAAAAAACCUUGUUUAUAAGGAAAAACAAUAGGUUAAAAUACCGGUGCACUGAUGGCGGCUACAGAAUAAGAAACCACCGGCUACGUG